CAUGAACAGCAAGUGGAGGAAGAGUUUGAAAGCGGGCUGGACAGAAGCAGAAGUGUUACUGCCCACUCUUAGGCCACUGUGCUGAUUAAAUGGGUGUUGUUAGGUUUAGAUUAGUAGUUUGUUGUUGUUGGGUUUUUCGGUGGUGUUGAUUUUUUUUGUUGUCGUUGUGGGGGAUUGUUUGUUUGUUUGUUUUUAUUUUGGUUUUUUUUCUGUAUUAAAAAUCUGGCUCAGUUACUCUCUAGUUCUGGUGUGUUCUCUUUUCCAGGUGGUUGGUGUUUCUGCAGUGUUUGGCACAGGACUGGGGGAGAUUUUUACCCAGCUUUCUAAAGCUGUAGAUGAAUAGGAGAGACUGAAUGCACUCCCUUUAUUCACCUUUUCAGAGAGUAUCGGCCAGAAUACGAGCGCCUGAGAAAAACACUGGACAGUUCUCUGCAGGCACAGCUACACAGAGUUUGGCUUCCCGGCGCUGCUGAAAACGUCCUAGAAUCCCACCUGACUGGAGGUUGCUUUCCAUGCUUAGUCAGAAGUUCUGUGUAACCUGAGUUGAAAUGUAAGACCUGCGUAGUGACUUCUGCUCUCUGACUGGGGGACAGGCUGCUGGGUUUGGGUGAGGUUUCUCUUCUCCUGAUGUUUUAAAUGUUCUCAGAAUCCACAUGUAAAUCUUUGUCUACGGGAGAAAGCUCAAAAUAAACAAAAGAGAGAGCAGCUGGAACACUUGUGGAAGGACAUGGGCAGCGUGUGUGUGCAGGGCAGCACACUGGCAGGUACCUCCCCAGGAAGAUAAAGUUUACUGCAGAAGUUUUCUGAAGAGUUUGCCUUGUGAAGUAGUACAGUGCUUCUUUGUCCUCACAGCAGAAAUGUGAAAGCAGCUCCAUGUUAGAGGAGCAGGGCUUUAGUUCCUGUGGGAUUGGUCACACUCAGCUCGUCCUGUGUCAGUCACAGGUUUGGAAGAAACCCCGCUGUGUAGCUAAAGCAGUGGACCUACUAGAAAUAAUGAAAUACUUUAGAAAAGGCGAAACAGUCAGAUCAGAAUAUGAGAAAGCUCUGCUGUUGGCUGCACUGUUCCUUAGAUGAGGCGAGUAGGUGCUGAUGGAGUCUGUCCUGUGUCUGGGAUCCACAAGCAGCUUUCUGUCCCCUUAGAGCAGGUGUUCAUUGCUGGGUUUCUGUGCAGAUAGAAACCUUACCUUU